AUUGAACGCUGGCGGCAGGCCUAACACAUGCAAGUCGAGCGAGAGGCGGACGGGUGAGUAAUGUCUGGGGAACUGCCUGAUGGAGGGGGGUAACUACUGGAACAGGUAGCGAAUACCGCAUACCAUCAGAUGUGCCCAGAUGGGAUUAGCUAGUGGGUGGGGUAACGGCUCACCUAGGAGACGAUCCCUAGCUGGUCUGAGAGGAUGACCAGCCACACUGGAACUGAUACACGGUCCAGACUCCUACGGGAGGCAGCAGUGGGGAAUAUUGCACAAUGGGCGCAAGCCUGAUGCAGCCAUGCCGCGUGUAUGAAGAAGGCCUUCGGGUUGUAAAGUACUUUCAGCGGGGAGGCGUUACCCGCAGAAGAAGCACCGGCUAACUCCGUGCCAGCAGCCGCGGUAAUAC
rnacentral:rRNA from 1 species